GAUCCGGUGGCCUAGUGGUUAGAGCAACCAUCUCGAAAGCGGGAGGUCGUGUGUUCAAUCCCUGGCCGAGUCA